rnacentral:rRNA from 1 species
AGAGUUUGAUCCUGGCUCAGGAUGAACGCUAGCUACAGGCUUAACACAUGCAAGUCGAGGGGAAACGACAUCGAAAGCUUGCUUUUGAUGGGCGUCGACCGGCGCACGGGUGAGUAACGCGUAUCCCAACCUCGCCCACCACGUUGGGGAUAACCUUGCGAAAGUAAGACUAAUACCCAAUGAUAUCUCUAGAAGACAUCUGAAAGAGAUUAAAGAUUUAUCGGUGAUGGAUGGGGAUGCGUCUGAUUAGCUUGUUGGCGGGGUAACGGCCCACCAAGGCAACGAUCAGUAGGGGUUCUGAGAGGGAGGUCCCCCACAUUGGAACUGAGACACGGUCCAAACUCCUACGGGAGGCAGCA